rnacentral:piRNA from 1 species
UACAUUGGGUACAUGUAGGGGCUCAAGAA